rnacentral:rRNA from 1 species
GAUCAUGGCUCAGGAUGAACGCUAGCGGCAGGCUUAACACAUGCAAGUCGAGGGGCAGCAUAAUGGAUAGCAAUAUCUAUGGUGGCGACCGGCGCACGGGUGCGUAACGCGUAUGCAACCUACCUUUAACAGGAGGAUAACACUGAGAAAUUGGUACUAAUACCCCAUAAUAUCAUAGAAGGCAUCUUUUAUGGUUGAAAAUUCCGAUGGUUAGAGAUGGGCAUGUCG